CUCGAAAUGGCUGACCAAGUGAUCCUCCUCACUGCUAGAUGUUUGAGGAAAAAUAUGACCGAUAGAGCACUUGAUUCUAUUCACAUUCAGAUGACUUCCCUGAAAGCAUAAAGUACUCUGUAGCCACUUAUUGUGGAUACCUGGUGAGACGACACACACACAGUUAUAUUAGCUGUGUGAGUGAACCUUUCCGCAUCUGAACUGGCUGACACAGAGGGCACAGCAUGAUCAUAGGUAGGUUUUGAUGUGAGAGAGGAAGCCAGUCCCGUCAUCGCCACCUCACCCACUCUUAAGAUAACCUUUGGGCCGACUGGGGGCCCAAGGCUGGUUAGGAGACACCGCUAGAGACACUAUGUAAUUGUGAUGAACUGAGAGAAUAAUAGGGUAGCAUUGUAAUUCAUUAAUCAUAUGCUGUCUUUCCUGCUCCUCUGUUUUACUUCUUUCCUUUUCUGUCUUCUACACCACUCUCCCCACCUCCUUUUUGUUCCUCUUUUUUUAUAAUGCACACCAUAUGUGCAUUGAAGUACAGCUUUAACUUGUAUUUAUAAUAUAAUAUUACAAUUCUAAUAUUUAUAAUGCAUGUAUUAUGUAUUUAUAACACCUGGAUAAUGAACUUUGAAUAAAGCGUUUCACAUUUCAACUGGUAGAAAUGAAGUAUCUCAUUGGAAUACUAUACCUAUCCUGUGUCCUCAGAUUAAUGUAGAUGAAGGGA
rnacentral:lncRNA from 1 species